AGUUGUUUGUUUUUCGGAGCUCAUCUAAAUCUGCUCACAGUGGUGGAAGUUCUUGGUGGUUAAGCUCGUCGUCCUAGUCUCGCUGCUCCGAAGAAGGUAACAUCCCUUUUCCAAUUUUAGAUUUCUUUGUCGUGGGCCAGGAAUCGCUUAGUUCAUGGCUUGAUAUUGUGAUCUUGUUGCUCAAUUGAUGUGACGACUGUUCAUUUCUUGAUCAUUGGAAAUCAUUCAGAUGUUAGAAUUCUGAGAGUGUUGACGACAAGUCGGUGGUAUGACUUGCUUGAUAUUCAUGUUGUUUGCUUGAUCUUUGUUUCCUUGAAGUCUUAAUGAUUUUGUUCGGUCUCGAGUUUGUUUCUCCU
rnacentral:lncRNA from 1 species